rnacentral:rRNA from 1 species
UGUCCUACGGGGGGCAGCAGUGGGGAAUAUUGCACAAUGGGGGAAACCCUGAUGCAGCGACGCCGCGCGAAGGAAGAAGUAUUUCGGUAUGUAAACUUCUAUCAGCAGGGAAGAAAAUGACGGUACCUGACUAAGAAGCCCCGGCUAACUACGUGCCAGCAGCCGCGGUAAUACGUAGGGGGCAAGCGUUAUCCGGAUUUACUGGGUGUAAAGGGAGCGUAGACGGCAGGGCAAGUCUGGAGUGAAAGCCCGGGGCCCAACCCCGGGACUGCUUUGGAAACUGCCAUGCUGGAGUGCUGGAGAGG